rnacentral:rRNA from 1 species
AUUGAACGCUGGCGGAAUGCUUUACACAUGCAAGUCGAACGGCAGCACGGGGCAACCUGGUGGCAAGUGGCGAACGGUGAGUAAUACAUCGGAACGUGCCCAAUCGUGGGGGAUAACGUAGCGAAAGUUACGCUAAUACCGCAUACGAUCUACGGAUGAAAGCGGGGGAUCGCAAGACCUCGCGCGAAUGGAGCGGCCGAUGUCAGAUUAGGUAGUUGGUGGGGUAAAGGCUCACCAAGCCAACGAUCUGUAGCUGGUCUGAGAGGACGACCAGCCACACUGGAACUGAGACACGGUCCAGACUCCUACGGGAGGCAGCAGUGGGGAAUUUUGGACAAUGGGCACAAGCCUGAUCCAGCCAUUCCGCGUGCAGGAUGAAGGCCUUCGGUUGUAACUAGCUUUGUACGGUACGAACGGCGAGCUCUAAUACAGUUGCUAAUGACGGUACCGUAA